rnacentral:rRNA from 1 species
AGCGAACGCUGGCGGCAGGCUUAACACAUGCAAGUCGAGCGGGCACUUUCGGGUGUCAGCGGCGGACGGGUGAGUAACGCGUGGGAACGUGCCCUCUGGUUCGGAAUAACUCAGGGAAACUUGAGCUAAUACCGGAUACGCCCUUUUGGGGAAAGGCUUGCUGCCGGAGGAUCGGCCCGCGUCUGAUUAGCUAGUUGGUGAGGUAACGGCUCACCAAGGCGACGAUCAGUAGCUGGUCUGAGAGGAUGAUCAGCCACACUGGGCCUGAGACACGGCCCAGCCUCCUCCGGGGGGAGGAGGGGGGGAGUAUUGACAAAUGGGCGAAGGCCUGUCCCGCCCAUGCGGGGGAAGUGGGGAAGGCCUAGGGGUUUAAAAGCUUUUUUAUCCGGAACGAUAAUAACGGUACCGGAGGAAAAAGCCCCGGCUAAUUUGGU